rnacentral:rRNA from 1 species
GCCCGACGGGGUGCAGCAGGCGCGAAACCUCCGCAAUGCACGCAAGUGCGACGGGGGAACCCCAAGUGCCACUCUUAACGGGGUGGCUUUUCAGAAGUGUAAAAAGCUUCUGGAAUAAGGGCUGGGCAAGACCGGUGCCAGCCGCCGCGGUAACACCGGCAGCUCAAGUGGUAGCCGCUUUUAUUGGGCCUAAAGCGUCCGUAGCCGGUCUGAUAAGUCUCUGGUGAAAUCCCACAGCUUAACUGUGGGAAUUGCUGGAGAUACUAUCAUGACUCGAGGUCGGGAGAGGCUGGAGGUACUCCCAGGGUAGGGGUGAAAUCCUGUAAUCCUGGGAGGACCACCUGUGGCGAAGGCGUCCAGCUGGAACGAACCUGACGGUGAGGGACGAAAGCCAGGGGCGCGAACCGGAUUAGAUACCCGGGUAGUCCUGGCCGUAAACGAUGUGGACUUGGUGUUGGGAUGGCUUCGAGCUGCCCCAGUACCGAAGGGAAUCUGUUAAGUCC